UGCAUAGCCCUUGUCAUAUUGUGCCUUG
rnacentral:piRNA from 1 species